rnacentral:rRNA from 1 species
AACAGAGGUGCCGAGCGUUAGGCGGAAUCACUGGGCUUAAAGCGUGUGUAGGCGGACCGUUAAGUGCCUUGUGAAAUCCCCCGGCUCAACCGGGGAACGGCUGGGCAUACUGGCGGUCUUGAGCCACCUAGGGGCGAGCGGAACAAGCGGUGGAGCGGUGAAAUGCGUAGAUAUCGAGAGGAACACCUGCGGCGAAGGCGGGUUGCUGGGCUGACACUGACGCUGAGGCGCGAAAGCUAGGGGAGCGAACGGG